rnacentral:rRNA from 1 species
UACGUAGGGUGCAAGCGUUGUCCGGAAUUAUUGGGCGUAAAGAGCUCGUAGGCGGUUUGUUGCGUCGGCUGUGAAAUCCCGAGGCUCAACCUCGGGUCUGCAGUCGAUACGAGCAAACUAGAGUGUUGCAGGGGAGACUGGAAUUCCUGGUGUAGCGGUGAAAUGCGCAGAUAUCUGGAGGAACACCGGUGGCGAAGGCGGCAUCCUGGACCGGUAUCGACGCUGAGGCGCGAAAGCCAGGGGAGCAAACGGG